AUGCAAGUCGAGCGGGCGAGGUUGCUUCGGUAACUGAGCUAGCGGCGGACGGGUGAGUAAUGCUUAGGAAUCUGCCUAUUAGUGGGGGACAACAUUCCGAAAGGAAUGCUAAUACCGCAUACGCCCUACGGGGGAAAGCAGGGGAUCUUCGGACCUUGCGCUAAUAGAUGAGCCUAAGUCAGAUUAGCUAGUUGGUGGGGUAAAGGCCUACCAAGGCGACGAUCUGUAGCGGGUCUGAGAGGAUGAUCCGCCACACUGGGACUGAGACACGGCCCAGACUCCUACGGGAGGCAGCAGUGGGGAAUAUUGGACAAUGGGCGAAAGCCUGAUCCAGCCAUGCCGCGUGUGUGAAGAAGGCCUUUUGGUUGUAAAGCACUUUAAGCGAGGAGGAGGCUACUUAGAUUAAUACUCUAGGAUAGUGGACGUUACUCGCAGAAUAAGCACCGGCUAACUCUGUGCCAGCAGCCGCGGUAAUACAGAGGGUGCGAGCGUUAAUCGGAUUUACUGGGCGUAAAGCGUGCGUAGGCGGCUUCUUAAGUCGGAUGUGAAAUCCCUGAGCUUAACUUAGGAAUUGCAUUCGAUACUGGGAAGCUAGAGUAUGGGAGAGGAUGGUAGAAUUCCAGGUGUAGCGGUGAAAUGCGUAGAGAUCUGGAGGAAUACCGAUGGCGAAGGCAGCCAUCUGGCCUAAUACUGACGCUGAGGUACGAAAGCAUGGGGAGCAAACAGGAUUAGAUACCCUGGUAGUCCAUGCCGUAAACGAUGUCUACUAGCCGUUGGGGGCCUUUGAGGCUUUAGUGGCGCAGCUAACGCGAUAAGUAGACCGCCUGGGGAGUACGGUCGCAAGACUAAAACUCAAAUGAAUUGACGGGGGCCCGCACAAGCGGUGGAGCAUGUGGUUUAAUUCG
rnacentral:rRNA from 1 species